AUACGUAGGGUGCGAGCGUUGUCCGGAAUUACUGGGCGUAAAGAGCUCGUAGGUGGUUUGUCGCGUCGUCUGUGAAAUUCCGGGGCUUAACUCCGGGCGUGCAGGCGAUACGGGCAUAACUUGAGUACUGUAGGGGAGACUGGAAUUCCUGGUGUAGCGGUGAAAUGCGCAGAUAUCAGGAGGAACACCGGUGGCGAAGGCGGGUCUCUGGGCAGUAACUGACGCUGAGGAGCGAAAGCAUGGGUAGCGAACAGGAUUAGAUACCCUGGUAGUCCAUGCCGUAAACGGUGGGCGCUAGGUGUAGGGGUCUUCCACGACUUCUGUGCCGUAGCUAACGCAUUAAGCGCCCCGCCUGGGGAGUACGGCCGCAAGGCUUAAACUCAAAGGAAUUGACGGGG
rnacentral:rRNA from 1 species